rnacentral:rRNA from 1 species
GUUACUAACGACGAUAUGCUUUGGGUAGCUGUAAGUAAGCGUUGAUCCAGAGAUUUCCGAAUGGGGGAACCCAGCAUGAGUUAUGUCAUGUUAUCGACAUGUGAAUUCAUAGCAUGUCAGAAGGCAGACCCGGAGAACUGAAACAUCUUAGUACCCGGAGGAAGAGAAAGAAAAAUCGAUUCCCUGAGUAGCGGCGAGCGAAACGGGAAUAGCCCAAACCAACAAGCUUGCUUGUUGGGGUUGUAGGACACUCUAUACGGAGUUACAAAAGAACAUGUUAGACGAAUCAUCUGGAAAGAUGAAUCAAAGAAGGUAAUAAUCCUGUAGUCGAAAACAUAUUCUCUCUUGAGUGGAUCCUGAGUACGACGGAGCACGUGAAAUUCCGUCGGAAUCUGGGAGGACCAUCUCCUAAGGCUAAAUACUCUCUAGUGACCGAUAGUGAACCAGUACCGUGAGGGAAAGGUGAAAAGUACCCCGGAAGGGGAGUGAAAGAGAACUUGAAACCGUGUGCUUACAAGUAGUCAGAGCCCGUUAAUGGGUGAUGGCGUGCCUUUUGUAGAAUGAACCGGCGAGUUACGAUCUGAUGCAAGGUUAAGCAGCAAAUGUGGAGCCGCAGCGAAAGCGAGUCUGAAUAGGGCGUUGAGUAUUUGGUCGUAGACCCGAAACCAGGUGAUCUACCCUUGGUCAGGUUGAAGUUCAGGUAACACUGAAUGGAGGACCGAACCGACUUACGUUGAAAAGUGAGCGGAUGAACUGAGGGUAGCGGAGAAAUUCCAAUCGAACUUGGAGAUAGCUGGUUCUCUCCGAAAUAGCUUUAGGGCUAGCCUCAAGUGAUGAUUAUUGGAGGUAGAGCACUGUUUGGACGAGGGGCCCCUCUCGGGUUACCGAAUUCAGACAAACUCCGAAUGCCAAUUAAUUUAACUUGGGAGUCAGAACAUGGGUGAUAAGGUCCGUGUUCGAAAGGGAAACAGCCCAGACCACCAGCUAAGGUCCCAAAAUAUAUGUUAAGUGGAAAAGGAUGUGGCGUUGCCAAGUCAAC